AGAGUUUGAUCAUGGCUCAGGACGAACGCUGGCGGCGUGCUUAAUACAUGCAAGUCGAGCGAGGUUACUGUUUUGGAUCCCUUCGGGGUGAAGAAGCUUUAACCUAGCGGCGGACGGGUGAGUAACGCGUGGGUAACCUACCCCAAAGUCCGGGAUAACAGCGGGAAACCGCUGCUAAUACCGGAUGCCUUUACCUUGGGGCAUCUUGAGGUAAAGAAAGGUAACGCUUUGGGAUGGGCCCGCGUCCCAUUAGCUAGUUGGUGAGGUAACGGCUCACCAAGGCGACGAUGGGUAGCCGGCCUGAGAGGGUGGACGGCCACACUGGGACUGAGACACGGCCCAGACUCCUACGGGAGGCAGCAGUAGGGAAUAUUGCGCAAUGGACGGAAGUCUGACGCAGCGACGCCGCGUGAGCGAUGAAGGUCUUCGGAUCGUAAAGCUCUGUCCUUGGGGAAGAAGGCGAAAGCUUGACGGUACCCAAGAAGAAAGCCCCGGCUAACUACGUGCCAGCAGCCGCGGUAAUACGUAGGGGGCGAGCGUUGUCCGGAAUUACUGGGCGUAAAGGGUGCGUAGGCGGCCCUUUAAGUCGGAUGUGAAAGCCCGCGGCUUAACCGCGGAAUGGCAUUCGAAACUGGAGGGCUUGAGUGUCGGAGAGGGUAGUGGAAUUCCCAGUGUAGCGGUGAAAUGCGUAGAUAUUGGGAGGAACACCAGUGGCGAAGGCGACUACCUGGACGAUAACUGACGCUGAGGCUCGAAAGCAUGGGUAGCGAACAGGAUUAGAUACCCUGGUAGUCCAUGCCGUAAACGAUGAGUGCUAAGUGUUGGGAGGUUUCCGCCUCUCAGUGCUGCAGCUAACGCAUUAAGCACUCCGCCUGGGGGAGUACGACCGCAAGGUUGAAACUCAAAUGAAUUGACGG
rnacentral:rRNA from 1 species